rnacentral:rRNA from 1 species
GGUGCGCGGCAGCUGCAGCCUCGGUCGAGAUUAUAGUUUGAUCCUGGCUCAGGACGAACGCUGGCGGCGUGCCUAAUACAUGCAAGUAGAACGCUGAAGGAGGAGCUUGCUUCUCUGGAUGAGUUGCGAACGGGUGAGUAACGCGUAGGUAACCUGCCUGGUAGCGGGGGAUAACUAUUGGAAACGAUAGCUAAUACCGCAUAAUAGCAGUUGUUGCAUGACAACUGUUUGAAAGGUGCAAUUGCACCACUACCAGAUGGACCUGCGUUGUAUUAACUAGUUGGUGGGGUAACGGCUCACCAAGGCGACGAUACAUAUCCGACCUGAGAGGGUGAUCGGCCACACUGGGACUGAGACACGGCCCACACUCCUACGGGAGGCAGCAUUAGGGAAUCUUCGGCAAUGGACGGAAGUCUGACCGAGCAACGCCGCGUGAGUGAAGAAGGUUUUCGGAUCGUAAAGCUCUGUUGUAAGAGAAGAACGAGUGUGAGAGUGGAAAGUUCACACUGUGACGGUAUCUUACCAGAAAGGGACGGCUAACUACGUGCCAGCAGCCGCGGUAAUACGUAGGUCCCGAGCGUUGUCCGGAUUUAUUGGGCGUACAGCGAGCGCAGGCGGUUAUAUAAGUCUGAAGGUAAAGGCUGUGGCUUAACCAUAGUACGCUUUGGAAACUGUUUAACUUGAGUGCAAGAGGGGAGAGUGGAAUUCCAUGUGUAUCGGUGAAAUGCUUAGAUAUAUGGAGGAACACCGGUGGCGAAAGCUGCUCUCUGGCUUGUAACUGACGCUGAGGCUCGAAAGCGUGGAGAGCAACAUGAUUACAUACCCUGCUAGUCCACGCCGUAAACUAUGAGUGCUAGGUGUUAGACCCUUUCCUGCGUUUAGUGUCGAUAUGUACGCAUUAUGCACUCCGCCUGGAGAUACGACCGCGAUGUUUGAACUCUGAUGAUUGACGUGGCGUCCGCACAAGCGGUGGAACAUGCUGGUUUAAGUCGAAGCAACCCCGACU